GACCACAUUUAUAAUUAUGCAUACCAAAUCCAUUCAAUAUACAAUCAAUGUGAGCUUUCUAAAACAGCUUUAAUAUAUCACAGACUAUUCCUAUGAAUAUUAAAGCCAAGAUAAAUAAGGCUUCUCUAAGAUUCUUUAUAUCAAAGACCUUAGAUGGUAAAGUUUGGUCUUAUGCAACAAUAGAGUCACCACUAGCAAAUAAAACA
rnacentral:lncRNA from 1 species